rnacentral:lncRNA from 1 species
AUAGAUGCUCAGAAGAUGAUGCUCUCUUUGGUCUGCAGAGGGAGCAGAUAAUUUCUAAGGAAAAGUGUUUCUUUGAAGAGUUUCAAGAAAAUUUGAAAUCAUAAGUGGAUUGCCCAUCUGUUGAUAGAUCAGGCUUUUCCUCUGGAAGGAGGAAUAAGAAAAGAGGCCUCUACCUAAGAAGCUCUGCUGAUCCUGAAAUAAAACAGAGAAGUUGGAAAACUCAUAUAGAAAAGCCUGCACUGAGUCAUGGCAGAACAGAUAAACAGGAUAUUUAAGCACAUCUGCAGUUGCAUAGGUUCAGGUUUUAUAAUUCACAUGAAACCACUCCAGUUUUCUCCCUGCUGGAUACCUGGGGUGAGAUGGCUUUUGGAGGCUGAAAAGAGCAGUUGCAAAGGCAUAUGAGCAAGGUAGGAUUCUUCUUCAAAACUGACCUGAAUCCAUGGUAGAAAAAAUUGCUAUUGAAAAUAACAGGUAGGCUCCAAAAACACAG